AGUGCCUGUGCUGCUCUCUCUUUAUAUUCCAGCCUUGACCUCUGGACUGAUGAGUUCCUCGUUGCCAUGCCCGUCUCUCUAUCUCUCUCUACACACAGUCAGGCUCUCAGCUCCCAAGACUCGCACCACUCACAAGUAUGAACAGUGUGCUGUAGAGAGAGAAGCCACAGAAACAGGAGGCGGCCUGGGUUUUGGAGACAUCGCUGCUGGCUCCUGGCUUGCUUCUCUAUACCCGCCAAAGCCAAGCGAGCCAGGCGCAAGACUACAAGAGCGAAUAGCAAUUGGGGGCCGAGAGAAAAACACAAAAAUAGUGCCGCGGCGAGCCAGGGCGACUGGCUGGCACCGUCUCGUCCCACGCCUCCCGGGUUUGUUUGUUUUUUUUUCUUUGUUCUCGCUUUUGGGCUUCGUAGCUCCCCCACCCCUCCCCGCGAGAGGAAAGGAAACAAAGGCAGGUCCAGCGGCAGGCAAACGAACCCAACCGACGUAACCGCGGACAUGACGGCCGCGUGACGCCAUGUCGGCCGAGGAGGGCGCGUCGGCGGCGGCGUCCGCGCCGCCGGAGGCGGAAGCGCCCGCGGCGGGGGCAAUGGGGGCCGAGGCGGCGGCAGCCAGGAAGCGCUACGAGUCGCUGGUGCAGGUGCGCGCCAAGGCCAUCAAGGGCAAGGGCGCCUGGUACUGGGCGCACCUGGAGCCCGUGCUCGUGCCGCCGCCCGCCUCCGGGCAGCAGCCCAAGUUAGCGCGCCUGCGCUGCACGCUCUGCGCCGCCACGUUCUCCGCCUCCAACCCGUCGCGCACCGCCUCCGAGCACCUCAAGCGCGGCGCCUGCCCCAACUUCGCGUCGCCGCUGGCCGCCUCCGCGCCUGUCUCCACGGCGCCGCCGCUAGCCAUCGCCGCGGCGUCCUCCGUCGUGCCCAUCUCCUCCUUCCCGCCGUCGUCGCAGCGGCGCCACUCCACCGGCGGCGGCGGUCGCAAGCGCCACGUGCUGGCAGCGGCGUACGCAGCCGUCGACGCGGCCUCCUCGCACCACAUGGUGGUUGGCGAGCCGGCCAUCUACUCCACGCCUCCCACGCCACCGGCGCUGCCCGCGCCGCGCCAGGUCCUCUCGGGCGGCCGCGGUGACCUGACUGCGCUAGCGCGCCUCGAGGACAGCGUCAAGCGGCUCAAGUCGCCCGUCACGUCACCGGGGUCCAUGCUGCCGCGGCACCAGGCCGAGGCGGCGCUCGCGCUGCUCGCGGACUGGUUCCUCGAGUCGUCCGGGACCGUCUCCCUGGCCGCGGCGGAGCACCCGAAGCUCAAGGCUUUCCUGCGCCAAGUCGGCCUUCCGGAGCUGUCGCGCGCCGACCUAACCCGAGGACGCCUCGACGCGCGCUUCGCCGAGGCCCGCGCCGACGCCGCCGCGCGCGUCCGGGACGCACGAUUCUUCCAGCUCGCCGCGGACGGGUGGCGCGACCAGGUAGUCACGCUCGCCGUCAACCUCCCCAACGGCACGUCCGUCUUCCACCACGCCGUUCCCAUGCCGGCGCCGCCGUCGUCAGGCUACGCCGAGGAGGUGUUGCUGGACGCCGUGUCGUCCGUCGCAGCAUCCGCCGACGUCCGUCAUUGCGCCGGCAUCGUCGCUGACCGCUUCGGCUCCAAGGCUCUGCGCGAUCUCGAGAGCAAGCACCCGUGGAUGGUGAACCUGUCGUGCCAAGCCCAUUGCUUGGCACGCCUAGCGAAAGACCUGGUGCGGGAGCUCCCUGUGGUCCACUCCGCCGCCACCAAUUGUGCCAAGAUGGCCGCCUACUUCAACGCCACUCGAGCCGUGCGCGCGCUGCUGCAGCGACACCAGGUCCAGGAGCUUGGCCACGCGGGGCUCCUCCGCGUCGCCGCUCCGCCGUCGACUGGCGACAACGAAACCAGCGCAGUAUUCGCGAUGCUCGAUGACGUGCUGACCUGUGCAAGGCCGCUCCAGCUCUCCGUGCUCGAGGAGCCCUUCAAGCUGCUCUGCAUUGACGACUCUACCGCUCGGGAGAUCGUGGACAUGGUGCACAGCGCGGCGUUCUGGGCGGAGGUGGAGGCGGCGCACUCGCUGGUGAAGAUGAUCACCGACAUGGUGAAGGAGAUGGAGACCGAACGGCCUCUCGUCGGGCAAUGCCUCCCGCUCUGGGAGGACCUGCGUGGCAAGGUCAGGGGCUGGUGCCGCAAGUUCAACGUGGACGAAGCCAUCGCCAUGAGCGUGCUGGAGAGGAGGUUCAGGAGGAGCUACCACCCGGCGUGGUCGGCGGCAUUCAUCCUGGACCCGCUGUAUCUUAUCAAGGACGUCAGCGGGCGGUACCUCCCGCCAUUCAAGUACCUGACGCCGGAGCAUGAGAAGGACGUGGACAGGCUGAUCACGAGGCUGGUGUCGCCGGAGGAGGCGCACCUGGCGAUGAUGGAGCUUAUGAAGUGGCGGUCGGAGGGCCUGGACCCGCUGUACGCGCAGGCGGUGCAGGUCCGGCAGCCCGACCCGACGACGGGGAAGAUGAAGAUCGCCAACAAGCAGAGCAGCCGGCUCGUCUGGGAGACGUGCCUCAGCGAGUUCAAGUCGCUAGGCAAGGUGGCCGUGCGGCUCAUCUUCCUCCACGCGACAGCAAGGGGGUUCAGGUGCACGCCGACGAUGGCGCGGUGGCUGACCGCGCCCGGUACCUCAUCGCGGGGCAUCGCCCGCGCGCAACGGCUGGUGUUCGUGGUGGCCAACUCGAAGCUGGAGCGGAAGGACUUGCGGAACGACGACGACAGGGACGCGGAGCUGCUCAUGGAGGGAGACGACGACAUGCUGACGGAUCCGACCACCGCCAUUGUGGUUCCCUCGUCGGUGUAACAAAAUGUUUUAAUUGUUCCUUCCUUGCGGAUUAAUCUCCCUGCUUGCAGGCAGCUGCUGCUGUUAGCAUUUGUAGAAUCUGAUGAUCCUAGGUCUAGAUUCUUUUAUUUGAUCUUGUUUCGUCUCCUGCCCGUGCUUGUUGCUUGCUCCCUCCUCUUGUUUUGGUGGGGUGGGGAGUAGCCAGGUAGGAAGGGGGCAUGAGAUGAUGGAGAUAGCAGAUUGCUUUUCAUUAUCAAAGUGUGGUUAAUCAGUCAAUAAACGUAACGGUGAUCCUCUCA